AUUGAACGCUGGCGGCAGGCCUAACACAUGCAAGUCGAACGAGUGGCGGACGGGUGAGUAAUGUCUGGGAAACUGCCUGAUGGAGGGGGAUAACUACUGGAAACGGUAGCUAAUACCGCAUACCAUCGGAUGUGCCCAGAUGGGAUUAGCUAGUAGUUGGGGUAACGGCUCACCUAGGCGACGAUCCCUAGCUGGUAUGAGAGGAUGACCAGCCACGCUGACACUGAUACACGGUCCAGAAUCAUAGGGGAGGCAGCAGUGGGGAAUAUUGCACAAUGGGCGAAGGCCUGAGGCAGCCAUGUCGCGUGUAUGAAGAAGGCCGUCGGGUUGUAAAGUACUUUCAGCGGGGAGGCGUUACCCGCAGAAGAAGCACCGGCUAACUCCGUGCCAGCAGCCGCGGUAAUAC
rnacentral:rRNA from 1 species